GAAUUAAAUAAGAAUCAAUCAGCGCAGCGCUAGUUACACACAGACAUAGCUUCUCCAUCCCCUAUACUUUCUUUUCGACUAGGAAGCGUCUGAUUACUGGGAUAAGUGAAUUCUAUUGUUUAGAGAAAAUAUCGAUAAUACAUACAUGUCCGUUACAUGGCAUAUAUGAUUUUGAAGUAUAACCACUUCCGAUAAUGAAAGUAUCAGAGCAGGUGGAUGAUAGUAAUUCUUCAAUUUCCCACCAUGCGAUGUCAUGCAACGGGUUUGGCAUAAAGGCUUUACCUUCGAUUUCUUACCUACUCCUGCAAGACUGAAUGGGUGGCUGCAUGG